rnacentral:tRNA from 1 species
ACCCGUCUAGCUCAGUCGGUAGAGUGCAAGGCUCUUAAGCUUAUGGUUGUGGGUUUGAGCCCCACGGUGGGCA